rnacentral:rRNA from 1 species
UACGUAGGUGGCAAGCGUUGUCCGGAUUUACUGGGCGUAAAGAGCGCGCAGGCGGUCGGCCAAGUCGAGUGUGAAAGCCCCCGGCUCAACUGGGGAGGGUCACUUGAUACUGGUCGACUCGAAGGCGGGAGAGGGAAGUGGAAUUCCCGGUGUAGUGGUGAAAUGCGUAGAUAUCGGGAGGAACACCAGUGGCGAAGGCGACUUCCUGGCCCGUUCUUGACGCUGAGGAGCGAAAGCCAGGGGAGCAAACGGG